CCGUCCUUCUGACGAGAAAAACAAACGUGUUCUCUUUCUGGACAAAAGCCCGGGCACGUCAAGGUGUCGCGGCCGCCCCGGACCCAGCGCCGUCGUGUCCGCCGCUUUCCUCGUCCAGAAAGACAACACGCUUUUGUCCGCGAGAGAGAGACGCGGGGGUUUCGUGUCCGCGCAGGACGGAGUGGCAGAAAACGAGGCCGUGGCAGGGGCCGGCAGUGUUUUUGGGACGGCGUGCCACGCCGUGACCCUGACUUGUAUGACGUCGGCGCCGUGGGCCUGCCGGGGCACGUGCGCCGAGCAAAAUGCCUUCACGCGCCGCGCCGUGGCACCCAUGCCCCCGCUCCGUAGACGAACCCCAUGGCAAGCAUGGAAGAAAUCCCCCUUUGCCUGUGAUUUAGUUGCCGGGGAAAUACUUGGGGUCGGUCUACACGGGAUUUUGUGCCGCUUUAACUAUAUCCGUUUGGAAACCAGGACGGCUGAAGGGGUGCGACCCCUCGAAAUGGAAGCGGUUACUUGGGGCUGGUAGAUGCGUGCGCCGUGCGCCGUACCAACACCGUAGCCAGUUCCUAGACGGUAAAACGUGCAGCUGAGGUAGCGGGCUCAAUAAAGUCACCACUCGCUCAUCCUACAGCAAGCCGCAGCCCAAGUAAAUGUAGUCGCUGAGGUCCCCUCAGGUGUGCUUGGCGCCGGCAGAGCGUUAUAGGCAUGUCCUGAGCACCACGGCCUGUCUGCUGCCAUUUCAUCUUCGUUAAGGAAAUGGCAUCUAAUGCCCACCGACGGGAAAUCGAUGAUGGAUGAACGUGGCAAAUGGAGGCUCCUGCCUGGAAGAGCAACGUCGUUUUUUAAAGGACUGGACACGGGAAGGUUGCAACCUUAAGGCGUUUGAGCCCAGCGGAAAUCCAAUUUGGAAAUUGUUUUGUCUGAGUUUUUUUUUCUGUUCUUGGGGCCAGCCGUAUUGAUGUAAGGCCAGCUGGACCGUUACGUCAGGGAUGGAUUUCGAUGCCUCGGGUUUACAGCCCCACCACCUUCUCAACAGACUCGAACAGUUUUUGCCUGUAAACAAAGCAAAACAGAAGGAGCCUGGUCAGAGCCCGGGUACAAGGGAGUCAAGUACAGCCAAGUACGUAGGCAGUAAUGUAAGGUAACGUCUCGUUAAGGACCGGACAGAAAAAUGGAGAUAUUUGCAUCUAACUUCUGUCACCUGCGUUGCAAGUUUAAAUCCAGCCGUGUGGCCCCUUGAAAUACAUGCUGGUUGUGAGCAGAUGUCUUCACGAGGAGUGCCACGACCGACACAUCUGUUGGACGUCUGAUCAGAGGGCACGUACUGACUGCGCCCCAGAGACACUGCUUCUUCCACCUCUCUACAGGGAGGAGACUGGAGGGGUCCCCUCAAACUUACCUUUUCUUUUUUCUGGGCAAUAAAUGAAGGACUUUAGACAGGCACCUUUCGUAAGUGUUAAAGGUGACGCCUAGUAAGAAAAGCAGCGACGAGAGCGCUGAACUACAGUUAAAUCAUUCAUUCCUGCACAAGAGGCUCCUGUCCACAGCUGCCUCCUUAAGACCUCUACAGCACGCAGGGCACACCGAACCCAAAAACUCUCCUCCCAGACUCUUUUGGAAGCUGACUGAAACAAAUCGGUAGAGGGAGCUCUUUUGGCAGCAAGAAAAGUUUAUUGAAUUCCUACGCAAAGUGAAGCCUGGAGCAGGAAACACAGCGCGACACAGGGGAAUCCACACAGCAUGGAUCACAUAAACCACGUUCUCAAAGUGGCCGAUUUCAGACAUGCUGAGCCUCCUUUUCUGAGAUGCCGAAUGUCUCAGCCCUUCCGGGGAACUACAAAGAAGCUGGCAAGAGCUAUGGACCUCUCGUGUCAAUUCAGAAUGAUUUUAACCCAAAUUCAUGAUCUGGCGCUGCUGAGUGGAUUUCAGGACGAAGAGCCCGCCACUGAAUACCUUGUCACCAGGCAGAGGUUCAACUCUAUGGGAUGCCACAAAAGCAUCGUACAAAACAGACGGAAAAUGCCUGACGAGUCUAGAGACAAACUGAAGCAGCAAAUUAAAUCCCGAGUUGAACUUCUUCAGACUUCGCCAGCUCCUGAACCUGCCGCACCGCAGCACAGAGCUAAAGGAUAUCAUCCUUAGAAAAACAAAAGGAUUAUUGCAAACGAGGCACGUAAUCAGAUACAAUAAUAUAUUUUAAUUCUUAAAUGGAAGGAAACAGCUACAGGUAACUUUUCCACGUCACAUAUUUCUGUCAAGUAAAAUACGUAUACCAGAGGGGAAAAACAUUUCUCUCUCUCAGCUUUGGAAGUAUUAUUAUUGCAUAACGCCAAAGUACACAGUGCGCUAUGUACUUUAUACCCCCCACCCAUAUGCAUAUUUUUUAUGUCUUAUGUCUACUGCAACAGAAAUAUUUCCCAGAAUCCUCUGUGCUUAACAAAACAUUGUAUGUUGCACCAAUGAAAACUGAUGAGGUUUCCUCAGUAAAAAUCCUGACAUUUCAGAGCUAACCUUUGAUAAUUUAACCACAGAAUAUGAAUACUAAGAAUAGCUGCUACUUUCUUCCCUGCCUGUGAGUUUAGAAAAGAGAUUCCUUCAGCA